rnacentral:rRNA from 1 species
GACGAACGCUGGCGGCGUGCCUAACACAUGCAAGUCGAACGGAACUUGAGUGGAUGAGACUUCGGUUGAUGAAACUCGAGUUUAGUGGCGGACGGGUGAGUAACGCGUGAGCAACCUGCCUUCCAGAGGGGGACAACAGUUGGAAACGACUGCUAAUACCGCAUAAGACCACGAUCCCGCAUGGGAUAGCGGUCAAAGGAUUUAUUCGCUUGAAGAUGGACUCGCGUCUGAUUAGAUAGUUGGUGGGGUAACGGCUCACCAAGUCUACGAUCAGUAGCCGGACUGAGAGGUCGAUCGGCCACAUUGGGACUGAGAUACGGCCCAGACUCCUACGGGAGGCAGCAGUGGGGAAUAUUGGGCAAUGGGGGGAAACCCUGACCCAGCAACGCCGCGUGAAGGAGAAGGCC